CAGACCCUCUCUGCCAAUAACAGCUAGGUUCCCUCCCCACUCAGACCCUCUCUGCCAAUAACAGCUAGGUUCCCUCCCCACUCACAACCUCUCUGCCAAUAACAGCUAGGUUCCCCUCCUCCACUCACACCACUCCUAGACAGUCAUUGCAAAAUUCUUGCUUGAGCAAUUGCUCUUUGCUGAGAAGCUAAUUAUUUUUAUUUUUUAAAACAAUUUUUAAUUAAAAAACAAUCACAGUUAGGGACUCCAUUGUUACCCUGAACUGAUUUUGACAUUGCCUUACAACCUUACAUCUAUGUUCUCUUUUGUAAAAAAUGACUGGUAAAUGUAACAUUGACAUACCUUUCAAUCCCACAAAACCCAUCACUGUUGUACUUAUUCAUGGCAGGAUAAAGGCUGUGAGUUCCCAGUUUUAAUUCUGACAAACCUUGUAUAGCAAAAGUUAGCAUCGUACACAGUUCGUAUUUUCUAAAAGAAAAUAAUGUAUUCAAAUGUUACCCCUCUUGUAUAUUUUGUAUACGUCUUUUUUUAAAUAUAUUUUAUUUGAGUAAGACCGUUUUUUAAAUUGUAUUAUUGCACGGCAUCUCAUGUUAUUAGUUGUCUCAAUUCAGGAGGGGAAACCACGAUAUGCAGUUUUGGGUAUGCUGUACGUGGAUGAUCAGUUUGGGUGUGCUGUACGUGGAUGAUCGUACCUAAAGCUACUCAGAUAUAUGCUCUUCUCCUCAGCUGAAGCAAAGCAGGGGUCAAGCCUCAAAUGACCUACACGAUUUUCUUCAUAAUGCAUUUUAUACAAGGCUAUGUAGAAUUUUAUGGGUUGCCAGAUUGGAGAAAAAGUACACAUUUUUUGUUUUGCUUUUGGUGUCGAUGAAGGUGUUUGAUUGGGGAAUGGAGAUACAUUUUUAUGAUGGGGAAUUUAUAAUGUACACAAACACACUCACUUUGUUUGUACUCAUGUUAUAGCCAACUCUUGACUUUUUGUAUGAAUUAUUUUUUAUAAAAUGUUUGUAUCUAGUUGUCAUGUAUUCAUUAUGUUUAACUGGUUAAAUGUUUGUAGUUUGAAUGUUUCAGUAAGGAUUAACACACGGUUAAAUAGUCGUAAAUCACUGCUUCAUUUAGCUUUUGGUAUAUUUGGCGUUUUAUACAGUCUGUAUUUCACUGAAGAAAGCAAUGCAAUAAAUGGUAAGAAAUGCUCAUUCUGAAGCCAUUCGGAUGUGGGUUUCACAGCCCGAUAAUACAGGGAUGUGGGUUUCACAGACCGAUAAUACAGGGAUGUGGGUUUCACAGCCCGAUAAUACGGAUGCAAGUUAUAUCACCUUAAGGGUUUAUUUUGUAACCUCUGGGGUAUAACAUGUUGUGGCAAAGUGGUAUAGGAGAGUCUGACAUACAGUGGGGCAAAAAAGUAUUUAGUCAGCCACCAAUUGUGCAAGUUCUCCCACUUAAAAAUAUGAGAGGCCUGUAAUUUUAAUCAUAGGUACACUUCAACUAUGACAGACAAAAUGAGGGGGAAAAAAUCCAGAAAAUCACAUUGUAGGAUUUUUAAGGAAUUUAUUUGCAAAUUAUGGUGGAAAAUAAGUAUUUGGUCACCUACAAACAAGCAAGAUUUCUGGCUCUCACAGACCAAUAAAUUCUUCUUUAAGAGGCUCCUCUGUCCUCCACUCGUUACCUGUAUUAAUGGCACCUGUUUGAACUUGUUAUCAGUAUAAAAGACACCUGUCCACAACCUCAAACAGUCACACUCCAAACUCCACUGGCCAAGAC
ensembl:lncRNA